UACGGAGGGUGCAAGCGUUAUCCGGAUUCACUGGGUUUAAAGGGUGCGUAGGCGGGAUAUUAAGUCAGUGGUGAAAGCCCCAGGCUCAACUUGGGAACUGCCAUUGAUACUGAUAUUCUUGAAUUCGUUUGAGGCAGGCGGAAUGUUGCAUGUAGCGGUGAAAUGCUUAGAUAUGUUACAGAACACCAAUUGUGAAGACAGCUUGCUAAGACGAUAUUGACGCUGAGGCACGAAAGCGUGGGGAGCAAACAGG
rnacentral:rRNA from 1 species